rnacentral:rRNA from 1 species
ACGUUGUCCAUCAGGUAAUGCUGGGGACGUCUAAAGGAACUAGCCUACGCAAGUAGUGAGGAAGGCGGGGAGUGACGUCAAAUCAGCACGGCCCUUACGUCCAGGGCUACACACGUGCUACAAUGGCCGAUACAGAGGGCAGCUACCUGGUGACAGGAUGCAAAUCUCCAAAGUCGGUCUCAGUUCGGAUCGGAGUCUGCAACCCGACUCCGUGAAGUUGGAUUCGCUAGUAAUCGCGCAUCAGCCAUGGCGCGGUGAAUACGUUCCCGGGCCUU